rnacentral:rRNA from 1 species
ACGCUGGCGGCGUGCCUAAUACAUGCAAGUAGAACGCUGAAGAGAGGAGCUUGCUCUUCUUGAAUGAGUUGCGAACGGGUGAGUAACGCGUAGGUAACCUGCCUUGUAGCGGGGGAUAACUAUUGGAAACGAUAGCUAAUACCGCAUAACAAUGGGUGACACAUGUCAUUUAUUUGAAAGGGGCAAUUGCUCCACUACAAGAUGGACCUGCGUUGUAUUAGCUAGUAGGUGAGGUAACGGCUCACCUAGGCGACGAUACAUAGCCGACCUGAGAGGGUGAUCGGCCACACUGGGACUGAGACACGGCCCAGACUCCUACGGGAGGCAGCAGUAGGGAAUCUUCGGCAAUGGGGGCAACCCUGACCGAGCAACGCCGCGUGAGUGAAGAAGGUUUUCGGAUCGUAAAGCUCUGUUGUAAGUCAAGAACGAGUGUGAGAGUGGAAAGUUCACACUGUGACGGUAGCUUACCAGAAAGGGACGGCUAACUACGUGCCAGCAGCCGCGGUAAUACGUAGGUCCCGAGCGUUGUCCGGAUUUAUUGGGCGUAAAGCGAGCGCAGGCGGUUUGAUAAGUCUGAAGUUAAAGGCUGUGGCUCAACCAUAGUUCGCUUUGGAAACUGUCAAACCUGAGUGCAGAAGGGGAGAGUGGAAUUCCAUGUGUAGCGGUGAAAUGCGUAGAUAUAUGGAGGAACACCGGUGGCGAAAGCGGCUCUCUGGUCUGUAACUGACGCUGAGGCUCGAAAGCGUGGGGAGCGAACAGGAUUAGAUACCCUGGUAGUCCACGCCGUAAACGAUGAGUGCUAGGUGUUGGAUCCUUUCCGGGAUUCAGUGCCGCAGCUAACGCAUUAAGCACUCCGCCUGGGGAGUACGACCGCAAGGUUGAAACUCAAAGGAAUUGACGGGGGCCCGCAC